rnacentral:rRNA from 1 species
AGUGAACGCUGGCGGUAGGCCUAACACAUGCAAGUCGAACGGCAGCACAGUAAGAGCUUGCUCUUACGGGUGGCGAGUGGCGGACGGGUGAGGAAUACAUCGGAAUCUACUUUUUCGUGGGGGAUAACGUAGGGAAACUUACGCUAAUACCGCAUACGACCUACGGUUGAAAGCAGUGGAUCUUCGGACCUUGCGCGAUUGAAUUAGCCGAUGUCGGAUUAGCUAGUUGGCGGGGUAAAGGCCCACCAAGGCGACGAUCCGUAGCUGGUCUGAGAGGAUGAUCAGCCACCCUGGAACUGAGACACGGUCCAGACUCCUACGGGAGGCAGCAGUGGGGAAUAUUGGACAAUGGGCGCAAGCAUGAUCCAGCCAUACCGCGUGGGUGAAGAAGGCCUUCGGGUUGUAAAGCCCUUUUGUUGGGAAAGAAAAGCAGCAGGUUAAUACCCCGCUGUUCUGACGGUACCCAAAGAAUAAGCACCGGCUAACUUCGUG